CUACAUUACCCUCAUCCACUCUCUUUUCUCUCUGUUCAUUCUUUUUCUUGUAGCAGUCUUUAAUAAAAUGACCAGUUUUUCCACAUCCAUAACACUUUCUAUUUCCAGUCCUAGACCUUGACCUAGGUCUUCCUUUCCAUUUCUUCUUGUUAUUGUUACUCCCUUGAUUAUAUUGAUUUUCAUGACUACCACCUUGCCAGGUAAGUGAUCUACCUCUAACAAAUAAACUUUCAAGUUCCCUUCCAUGCCUUCAAGAUUUAAGUUCUAAUUCUUUACUUCUUAAAGAAUUAAUAACAACUUCAGGGGUUAACUCAUCCCUACCAUACUUAAUAGCAGUUUUAACAUCUCUAUAGGCUUCAGGUAAUGAGUUUAGAAGAAUAACAGCUUUGUAUUCUUCAGAAACUUUAUCACCCGCAUUAGUUAUAUCUUGAACUAGUUUAUUAAAGAUGUCAAGAUUGUCUUCUAAAUCUUUGGAAGGGUCUAUUUUAAAACUGAAAAAACUUUCCAAAAGAAAUAUUUUAUUUGGUAAAGAUUUUGUUAAAUACAGUUCUUCAAAUUUAUCCCAUAAAGCUUUAGCCUUAUCAAGUUUUCCAACCUUUCUUAACACUUGGUCAGAUAAAUGCAGUAUGAUAGAGGUAUAGGCAUGUUCAUCAGAUUCUGUUUUUUGUUCUUCAGUCAUAGUCUCAGGAAAAUCAGCAGUUAUAGCUUUUACAACUUUCUGUUGAGCAAGAAUCCCUCUAAUUUUUUGUUGCCAAAUGGGGAAAUCCCCUUUUCCAUUAAAAAUCCCAAGUUCAAACUUAGUAGUUGACAUUUGAAGUUCUUAAUCAACACAAGAAAAAUUAUUGGAGGUUCAAUGUUCAGCAAGAAAAGUAGAUACAGAAUAAGAAAUUUGACAAUACUUAAAGUCAGACAAGUUAUUCAGUACCAAGAAGUUUCAAGAAUCAAAGGAAAAAGUAUAAGUACACAAAGUAUUCACAAUAUCAAGAAGUAGCAGUGUGUUCAAUGCAAUACACUUUAGGCCUUAAAUGCCCAAGUUCACCAGGAUUCCGUGAGGAUCAUGUCCUCAGGUCAAGGCUCAACUUGGGGCAUCAAGACCAAAAACAGGAAAUGAUAUUACCAAUGUUUCACACAGAACUAGAACACAAAUGCAGUUUACAAAUUGUGUAACUACAGAUGUAUAUCAUAUAUAUACAGCACGAACAAAAAAUUGAUUAAGUGUUAUGUUAGGUCAGAACUGCA
rnacentral:lncRNA from 1 species